UAUCUCUCCGUACGGGGAAGGAUGAGAAGCUUCGACUAAGGUUCGAUUCGAGCGCAGCGAGAAAGCGUUGCCGCAGGCAACGACCCGAAGGGUGAGGAGCGGAGCGACGAAU
rnacentral:sRNA from 1 species